rnacentral:rRNA from 1 species
CGGAUUAGCCCAAACCAAUAAAGUUUUCUUUAUUGGGGUUGCGGACAUAUCAUAACGAAGAGGUAUCGUAAUUGAAGAGGUUUGGAAAGACCCACCACAGAAGGUAAUAGUCCUGUAUGUUAAACGAGAAGACUUUAGAUAUGAUCCAGAGUACCACGGGACACGUGAAACCCUGUGGGAAGCAGGAGGGACCACCCUCCAAGGCUAAAUACUACCUAGUGACCGAUAGCGUAUAGUACCG